CCCUACGGGGGGGCAGCAGUAGGGAAUUUUCGUCAGUGGGCGCAAGCCUGAACGAGCAAUGCCGCGUGAACGAGGAAGGUCUUGGGAUCGUAAAGUUCUGUUGAAGGGGAAAAAGAGCGGAGAGAGGAAAUGAACUCCGAUUGAUAUUACCCUUCGAGGAAGUCACGGCUAACUACGUGUCAGCAGCCGCGGUAAUACGUAGGUGGCGAGCGUUAUCCGGAAUGAUUGGGCGUAAAGGGUGCGUAGGCGGCCUGCUAAGUCUGGAGUGAAAGGUACCGGCUCAACCGGUACAGGCUCUGGAAACU
rnacentral:rRNA from 1 species